rnacentral:lncRNA from 1 species
AAAGCUCUUGCCCCUUGCAAAGCCAAAGCAAAGGCCUUGAUUUGCCUAAGAAGGCAGUCACAGCCGCAAAAAGAAGAUCCGCAUAUCACCCACCUCUUGGCAGACCAAGACUCUGCAGCUCUGGAGGCAGCGUAAAUACCCUCAAAGGAAUGAACCCAGGAGACACAAGCUUGAGAACCAUGCCGUCAUCAAAUUCCCUCUAACCACCGGGUUAGCCUCUCGAGAAGAUAGAGGACAACGACAUGCUCUUGUUCACUGUGGAUGUCAAGGUCAACAAGCACCAGACCAAACAGGCCGUGAAGAAACUCUAUGACAUUGAUGUGGCCAAAGUCAAUACCCCGUAAGGCCUGAUGGACAGAAGAAGGUGUACGUAGUAGGUCCGCUUGGCUCCCAAUUAUGAUGCUCUGGAUGUUGUCAGGAAGACUGGGGUCAUCUAA